rnacentral:rRNA from 1 species
GACGGGUGAGUAACACGUGGGAACGNCCUUUUGGUUCGGAACAACUCAGGGAAACUUGAGCUAAUACCGAAUGUGCCCUUCGGGGAAAGAUUUAUCGCCAUUAGAGCGGCCCGCGUCUGAUUAGCUAGUUGGUGAGGUAAUGGCUCACCAAGGCGACGAUCAGUAGCUGGUCUGAGAGGAUGAUCAGCCACAUGGGACUGAGACACGGCCCAGACUCCUAC